UCUAAGCAGAGUGUUUUGGAAGGAGUUAAGGGGCUGUGGCAAACACCCUCUCCACCGUCAUGGCCUGGCAUCGGAAUGUUCGAGGCUUUGACUAUGAUGAAGAUUUUGAAGUUGAUGAUCUCUAUGGCCAGUCUGUAGAGGAUGAUUAUUGUAAUUCACCAUCAACAGCUGCUCAGUUUAUUUAUUCACGGGGUGACAAACCUUCCGUUGAGCCUGUAGAAGAAUAUGAUCAUGAAGAUCUGAAAGAAUCUUCCAAUUCUGUUUCGAACCACCAGCUCAGUGGAUUUGAUCAAGCUCAUCUUUAUUCAUUCCUUGAUCAAAUGAGAGAAGGUACUUGGAGAUGCUGUGCCAGAUGAAAUAUUAAUUGAAGCAGUUCUGAAGAACAAGUUUGAUGUGCAGAAGCCUUUGUCAGGGGUUCUGGAUUAGCAUGCAGAAUUUGAAGGACGAGAAUGAGGGAACAGUAUCUACAGGAAAGACAACAAAAGGCAAGGAGUCUUAUUUUCCUCUUCUGAAGUUUCAGCUAAUAAUGUUCAAAGUUCUUAUCCUCAGUCAGCAAAUCAUUUGGAUUAUUGUAGCAAACCCUUUGAUUUUUCUAGCUCAGUAGGAAAAUACGGAUUAUCUCAUAAUUCUUCAGUUCCAAGUCACUGUUUACUCCAUAGGAAAAAGAAACUUGACAGACUUAAAAGGGAGAAGAAACUGGAAUUAUGUAAGUUAACAAGAGAACUUUCACUAGCUGACCUAAUUCAUGAUAUGUCAAGAGAUUCCUGUGACAGUCAGCCAUCAGUCAGAUUAUCAUCUACAGACAGUCUGGGAAGUCUACUUUCAAAGAACCUAGAUGCUGAUCUGUUGAGACCUCAUGCAUCCGAAUGUGUUUCCAAAGAUGAUUCUGCAUUCAAAGAAAUGCCAGAUUUAAAGGCCAUCAUGAUAAAGAGCACAACACCGAGUAAUUCUUUAUAUAUUCAAAAUAAUUCACUCUCUGAUUUUCAAAACAUUCCAGUACAGGGCAGUUUAGGAAGUUCAAAUAAUCCUUUGUGCUUAACUAGCUCAUUGGAAAAUAUGACUGUUGAUCAUUUAAAUGCUAGUAAAGAAACUGAAGUUGGAAGUGUUUCUUUAGUUGAACAAAGUGCCAAGAAUUACAUUUUUAAAAAUGAUAAUUUGCAGUUUUCUCAGUGUGAAAGUCCAUUCCUAACAGAACUGUUUCAGGAACACAAAGAAACCAAUAUAAGCCAGUGCUUUACUUUGUCUGACCUUUGUAACCAGUCAUCUGCCAGUUUCACAGAUCUAAGUUUGGGAUCCUUUCCCCUGUCACAAUUAGCAAAUCGCUGUCAGUCUUCACCCGGAAUAUCAGAAUUAACAGGAUCUCUGUUGUCACUGGCAUUUCCUAAAGCUUCUCACAAGAGACCUUAAGAAUUUAUCACUUUCUGAAUUGAUUGCAGAAACGAUUGAUGUAUACAACUCUCAGAUUAAGAAAGAGUCCUUUGAGGUCAGUUUAUCUGAAGAGAGGUCUCCUGGAAUAGAUUCAAAUAUUGAUCUCAGUGUCCUUAUAAAAAACCCAGAUUUUGUUUCAAAGCGUAUAGUAGACCAAUCCAUUGCUCCAUCGUCACGAACUGAAGUUCUAAGUUCAAAGCUACGGAAGAAUUCCAAUUUUGCUAAGGAUAAUAAGAAAAGCAAUAAAGGCUCUCUGACCAGGAAACCACCUUUUUCUCUGUCUUAGACCAAGGCCCUUGCUGCUAGACCUUCAGCUUUUCCCUCAACACUGUGUCUUUGUCACCCACUGAAAAGCUGCAAGUGACGCACCCUUGACUUCCGUAAGACUUUUCUUUAUGGUAGACAAGUUCAAGAUGUAAAGGACAAAGAAAUAAGUCCUCUUGUAGCGAUAACACCAUUGACUUCAAAUCAGCAUCACCUGAUGACAUUGUAAAAGCUAAUCAAAAAAAGCAUUUGCUAGAGAAUAGUAACAAAAGGAAAACUUGAUUGCUGUUGUAGAGCUUUUUAUUUUUAAUUAAAGUCUUCAGAGAAUCACUUUAUAUGAUGGGAUUCAAAUUGUGAUUUUCACCAAAGUUGUUGUAGGUCAGUUGAUUAGUUGAUACGUAUUUUUGCACUGAAUUUUUUUUAACUAUGUCUUCUUUCGGUGAUAACUGACUUUAUUUAAGCUGGUAACCUAUACUGAGCAUAUGUUUACAAAGUGGAUAUGGAAACUUGAUGUUGUGAAAUCAGACCUCAGAUAUUUUUGUUUGAAGCAUUCCACUUCCUAUGUUUUUUAUGAUGAAAUAUUUUUUUCUAUGAAAUAUUUUUGUGCUUUGUUCAUCAAUGAAAAUUCCAGGACUUGGAAUUAUAAUCGUUUAGUGUGAAGAUUAUUCUUAUGUGGCACAGCAUAGU